rnacentral:rRNA from 1 species
UACGAAGGGUGCAAGCGUUACUCGGAAUUACUGGGCGUAAAGCGUGCGUAGGCGGUUCGUUAAGUCAGCUGUGAAAGCCCCGGGCUCAACCUGGGAAUUGCGGUUGAAACUGGCGAACUAGAAUCUGGCAGAGGGGGGUGGAAUUCCACGUGUAGCAGUGAAAUGCGUAGAGAUGUGGAGGAACACCGAUGGCGAAGGCAGCCCCCUGGGCUGAGAUUGACGCUCAGGCACGAAAGCGUGGGGAGCAAACAGG